AUUUAAUUUAAGCUAGUUAUGACAGAGGGUGAGGUGAAACCCUAGUUUCACCAAAAUCCAUCAAAUUGAAGGGGGAUUGAAGGGCUAAACUAAUGCAUGAACCAAGAUUUUCGAUCACUUUAGCGUUUCUACCAUCAUGAACGUGUCAAGGAGAGGUCAAGCAUAGGAGGAUAACGGGUCAAGAUAAGGCAAGGUGACAAAUACACUUAUUGGAGUACUCGAGGUAAGUGAAUUUCGAUUCACUUUUUAGUAGGUUUAAUAGAUUUUAAUACUUAUGUUUACGAAACAUCAUGAAAGAACAUGUAAUAAUCAGAAGUACAAAGCCAAUAAUGCCUCAUUAUUGAAGAAGGUUGUAUUUAAGCUGAAAGUAAAUUGGUGGGUUUAAACGGGUCGAAUUUUAUGUGCAUAUGUUGCGUAAUGUAAUGAAAUUCGUUAUGGUUAAGACCUUGGGUAAGAAUUUUUAGUCAUUAUGUAAGGGGAACAUUUCCCGGACCAUUAGGAACAAGUUUUAUAUGAUUCGGUUGUCGGUUAGUGAAUGAACGGAUUGUUUCGUGUUAGUGUAGGAAAUUUUAUAAGUAUAUGUGUAUAGGAAUCCAAAGGGCACGUGGGUUGAAUCAUAGAUUGUCUAUACUAUGUAAAGUUGUGAAUGUGACAUUCCGGCAUAAACCUACAUGUAAAAGAAGCUUGUGUAUAUAUUCGUGAUUAAUUGAUUGUGCGUAGGAAGGAACAUUGGCAUGUAUGAAGGUACGCAUGUAUAUAUAUAAGUGUUUAUAUAUAUAUAUAUGUAUGUAUGUAUGAUAAUAAGUACGUAGGUGUGAAUGUAUGUGUGAAUGAAUGUUCAAUGCUUAAGACAUAUGCAUGAACGUUAUCAAAGUGUUCGAGUAUUUAUGGUUACUAAUGAUGUGCGUUGAGUUGGAAUGUAAUGUAGGUAUGGGAUCGUUGGCUUCAUGAAGAAAUGGAGCUGGAUUUGGAUAAGAGUAUUUAAGAAAGCGCUUGGACAAUUCCACGACUACUUUAUAGAAUGCUCCACGAAAUUCUAUUAUAUAGUUUAAUGUUGUGUGGUAUGUUAAUGACUAAUGGUUUGGUUGUACGUGGUGUCCACAGGUAUCGCUUGGGUUUUCUCUACAUUUAUUGAAGUGAAGCGGACUAAGUUCGAGUUGAGAGCAAGGAUUGUACGGGGUAGAAUGGUCACAUAGUGUAACUCAUAUAGGUUUUGAAGUAUUAAUGUUAUAAAACGUUAUAAAUC